rnacentral:rRNA from 1 species
UUGAACGCUGGCGGCAGGCCUAACACAUGCAAGUCGAACGGUAACAGGAAGAAGCUUGCUUCUUUGCUGACGAGUGGCGGACGGGUGAGUAAUGUCUGGGAAACUGCCUGAUGGAGGGGGAUAACUACUGGAAACGGUAGCUAAUACCGCAUAACGUCGCAAGACCAAAGAGGGGGACCUUCGGGCCUCUUGCCAUCGGAUGUGCCCAGAUGGGAUUAGCUAGUAGGUGGGGUAACGGCUCACCUAGGCGACGAUCCCUAGCUGGUCUGAGAGGAUGACCAGCCACACUGGAACUGAGACACGGUCCAGACUCCUACGGGAGGCAGCAGUGGGGAAUAUUGCACAAUGGGCGCAAGCCUGAUGCAGCCAUGCCGCGUGUAUGAAGAAGGCCUUCGGGUUGUAAAGUACUUUCAGCGGGGAGGAAGGGAGUAAAGUUAAUACCUUUGCUCAUUGACGUUACCCGCAGAAGAAGCACCGGCUAACUCCGUGCCAGCAGCCGCGGUAAUACGGAGGGUGCAAGCGUUAAUCGGAAUUACUGGGCGUAAAGCGCACGCAGGCGGUUUGUUAAGUCAGAUGUGAAAUCCCCGGGCUCAACCUGGGAACUGCAUCUGAUACUGGCAAGCUUGAGUCUCGUAGAGGGGGGUAGAAUUCCAGGUGUAGCGGUGAAAUGCGUAGAGAUCUGGAGGAAUACCGGUGGCGAAGGCGGCCCCCUGGACGAAGACUGACGCUCAGGUGCGAAAGCGUGGGGAGCAAACAGGAUUAGAUACCCUGGUAGUCCACACCGUAAACGAUGAUUACUAGGUGUUGGAGGAUUGACCCCUUCAGUGCCGCAGUUAACACAAUAAGUAAUCCACCUGGGGAGUACGACCGCAAGGUUGAAACUCAAAGGAAUUGACGGGGGCCCGCACAAGCGGUGGAGCAUGUGGUUUAAUUCGAUGCAACGCGAAGAACCUUACCUGGUCUUGACAUCCACGGAAGUUUUCAGAGAUGAGAAUGUGCCUUCGGGAACCGUGAGACAGGUGCUGCAUGGCUGUCGUCAGCUCGUGUUGUGAAAUGUUGGGUUAAGUCCCGCAACGAGCGCAACCCUUAUCCUUUGUUGCCAGCGGUCCGGCCGGGAACUCAAAGGAGACUGCCAGUGAUAAACUGGAGGAAGGUAAGGAUGACGUCAAGUCAUCAUGGCCCUUACGACCAGGGCUACACACGUGCUACAAUGGCGCAUACAAAGAGAAGCGACCUCGCGAGAGCAAGCGGACCUCAUAAAGUGCGUCGUAGUCCGGAUUGGAGUCUGCAACUCGACUCCAUGAAGUCGGAAUCGCUAGUAAUCGUGGAUCAGAAUGCCACGGUGAAUACGUUCCCGGGCCUUGUACACACCGCCCGUCACACCAUGGGAGUGGGUUGCAAAAGAAGUAGGUAGCUUAACCUUCGGGAGGGCGCUUACCACUUUGUGAUUCAUGACUGGGGUG